UAGAAAUACCGCACUGGUGGGGUAUGGAUCCGAAGCCUCUAGAAGGAUAACAAAGGCUCUCCACACUCUACUCCUACUCAAUACGUCCCCGGCGUACAGAGCGGUAACAUGUCUCUCCAAAUAUCUAAGCUUGGGUAUACGGGGAAACCCAACCCCUUGGGAGGAUGGGUGAUAUGGCUAAAUUGAGAGGA
rnacentral:ribozyme from 1 species